ensembl:lncRNA
CACUAAUAUCAAGUCCUUAUUCAAAUUUCCCUGUCUGUCUCCAUUUUUUGUAUCCAAAACGUGUUUAUUGGGAUUGUUUCCCACUCUCGUUGAUGCAGGUGCCUUCAGUGCUGCUGUCAGAGGAGCAUCCUUCUGUGAGCCUUGCUUUUCCUUCUGCAAACUGGCUAAGAGCUGCAGAGCACUCGACACCCAUAACCACAGUGUGUGCGUGGCUGAAGGCCGACGCGACUGUGUCGCAUCCUGGGCAUUUUACAUCUAUGCAGUAGGAAUUGGGGCUUUACCCUGGGUGCUUCUUGGGUUCCUUCUUCUCUACCUGAGAGGGAUGAAGGUGAUCUUUUUCAAGAGGCUUAUUCUCGUGGAGACAUCAUAGCUUGAAAGCUCAGUUACUUUUUUUUUUAUUAUUAUUAUACUUUAAGUUCUAGGGUACAUGUACACAGCAUGCAGGUUUGUUACAUAUGUAUACAUGUGCCAUGUUGGUGUGCUGCACCCAUCAACUCGUCAACACCCAUCAACUCGUCAUUUACAUCAGGAAAUCAACUGCCCCUUCAUUCUUCCUCAGGCCUUCACAAUGAACAGAAAGCUGCAGUUUCUUCCUCUGUAUUCUUUGUCCACUCCCACUCGCUUCAUAUGCCCCACUGACCCAGGUAUGAGAAACCCGGCCUGCACCUUCUAUAGCACCACAAGCCUAGACUGAGGAAAGAUUCAUAAACGCCACUCUUCUUCGAGUAGCCUACCUUCGCGAAGUCUCACCAAGUAAGUGGGACCAUUUUGUGAAGACAAGACACCUAAUGAAAGGAAACUGUAGAGUGGAAGGUGCUUAAUUCCAUGUGCUUCACAUCCUCCCACCCCUACUCCUCAGGUCCCAGAGCACUUUCCCUGUCUCCUCUGAGCAGGAGAUGCAGCCUCGGUAUGCUCUGUCACAGCUGGGUUCAUCCCCAUCAAGGGGCCUUGGUUUUCCAGGGAAACAGGCAACCAGGGAGACUGACACACACAUAAACAAUAUGGCAGGGUGAGAGGAGGGUCUGCAGGGCACACCUGGAGCUGAGCUUUGAGGCUCGAGCUGAUACAUGGGGCUGGAGUAACAGGGCAGGAGAAAGAACACAAAUCCGGCCCAGGAUACCUGGAUACCUGUCCAACUUUGUCCCUUCCUUGGUGUUGACCCAGAGCAAGUCUCCUACCCUCACUGGGCCUCAGUUUUCCUCACCUUAAAAUAGUGCUGGGGCAGGCCUUUUACACACAGAUAAUGGAUUGGUUUAACUUUUGAAAGUAGUGUGGUAUUACCUCCUAAAGCUGAGCAUCUGCACACCCUAUGACUCAGAAAUUCCAAAAGAUACCUACAAGAAUGUGCAGAGCAGCACUUUUGUAAUAGCACCAGACUGGAAAUUAUCUGAAUGUCCAUUUACUGUGAAUGGAUAAAUAUGUUGUACUAUAUUCAGACAGUAAAAUACUAUAUAACAAUGAAAAAGCUAUGAGUUACAAUUAUAGGCAAGAUCACUGGAAGAAUCUCACAGACAUGGUGUUGAGAAAAAAAGGUACAAAUAUUAAUACUACAUGAUUCCAUUUGUAUAAAGAUCUUAACACAGAAAAAUACCUCAAUUUCAUAAGGAUGGGUAGUUAUCUUCAGGGUCUAGCAUCUGCAAGGAGGUAUAGUGGUGCUUCUAGGGUGAUGUUCUGUUUCUUGAUAUGGGUGCUGGUUACUUUAUUAAAAACUUACCAAACAAAAAUGUUCUGGGUGAUGUAGUGAUUUAGUGGGAAAAUCUCAGAAGUGGAAAUUAGAGACCAGAGUCCUGUUCCCAGCUCCGCACUGAUCAUCUAAUGACCUUGGGCAAGUUGCUUCCCUUCUUUGGGCCUCAUUUUCUAACAUUUGUAAAGUG